rnacentral:rRNA from 1 species
CCGGGGCUAAUACCGGAUGCUUGAUUUAACCGCAUGGUUCAAUUAUAAAAGGUGGCUUUUAGCUACCACUUACAGAUGGACCCGCGGCGCAUUAGCUAGUUGGUGAGGUAACGGCUCACCAAGGCAACGAUGCGUAGCCGACCUGAGAGGGUGAUCGGGCCACACUGGGACUGAGACACGGCCCAGACUCCUACGGGAGGCAGCAGUAGGGAAUCUUCCGCAAUGGACGAAAGUCUGACGGAGCAACGCCGCGUGAGUGAUGAAGGUUUUCGGAUCGUAAAACUCUGUUGUUAGGGAAGAACA